ACCAAACGUUAGCGAUUGGUUAUGGCAGAUCCAGAGUGGCUCUGGGCAGAUCCAAUAGUUUUCAACUUUAACAGAGUUUCCGCCUUCAAGGAAGUUAACACUUGUCAAUGGUGUGUGGCCAGAGUCUGUACAAAUGAAAUGUACGAGAGCUUAGAGUAUAUUGAUUCCAAUGCGAGAAAUGAACGUGACCAAAGAUAACCAAUUCUUUUGCUCCAUAGCCACCAAUAUAAUAUAAUUUAUAGUAAACAUUGGACCCACUUUUCCAGAGCCACAUAUUUAAGAACAUUCUACACUAAAAAUCUUUUUCAGACGGACACAUAAGGAGAAAUUUUACUUUGUUUAAGACAACUCAGGAACAAACUCUUGUGGGAUCUGGCAACACAGAGAAGCUAACAACAGCUAAUAUUUGCAAAUUCCCCAAAAAAACUCGUUUUCAUAAUGCUAAAUAUCGCUUUUAGCGGUUUAAAUAUUAAUGUUAGCAAAAGAAAAUAUUAAAUUAUGCAAUUAUAACUGUUCGUCCAUCCAAACAACAUUCACUGCACUUUCAAAUGAGGCCACGUCCAUUUAGAAGACAGGAAGUAUGUACCGUUUCAUACCAUUGGUGCAGCGGUUAAUUUGCAUCUUCAGUACCAUCCACACAUUUUGCCAGUGCAAAACCA